rnacentral:rRNA from 1 species
UACGUAGGGUGCGAGCAUUGUCCGGAAUUAUUGGGCGUAAAGAGCUCGUAGGCGGCCUGUCACGUCGGAUGUGAAAGCCCGGGGCUUAACCCCGAGCCUGCUUCCGAUACGGGCAGACUAGAGGUAUGCAGGGGAGAAUGGAAUUCCUGGUGUAGCGGUGAAAUGCGCAGAUAUCAGGAGGAACACCGGUGGCGAAGGCGGUUCUCUGGGCAUUACCUGACGCUGAGGAGCGAAAGUGUGGGGAGCGAACAGG